AUUGAACGCUGGCGGCAUGCUUUACACAUGCAAGUCGAACGGUAACAGGCCGCAAGUUGCUGACGAGUGGCGAACGGGGGAGUAAUGCAUCGGAACGUGCCCAGUCGUGGGGGAUAACUACUCGAAAGAGUAGCUAAUACCGCAUACGAUCUAUGGAUGAAAGCGGGGGACCGUAAGGCCUCGCGCGAUUGGAGCUGCCGAUGUCAGAUUAGGUAGUUGGUGGGGUAAAGGCUCACCAAGCCAACGAUCUGUAGCUGGUCUGAGAGGACGACCAGCCACACUGGGACUGAGACACGGCCCAGACUCCUACGGGAGGCAGCAGUGGGGAAUUUUGGACAAUGGGCGAAAGCCUGAUCCAGCAAUGCCGCGUGCAGGAAGAAGGCCUUCGGGUUGUAAAAUGCUUUUGUACGGAACGAAACGGCUCUGGUUAAUACCCGGGGAUAAUGACGGUACCGUAAGAAUAAGCACCGGCUAACUACGUG
rnacentral:rRNA from 1 species